ACAUGCAAGUCGAACGCACUCUCGUUUAGAUUGAAGGAGCUUGCUCCUGAUUGAUAAACAUUUGAGUGAGUGGCGGACGGGUGAGUAACACGUGGGUAACCUGCCCUAAAGUGGGGGAUAACAUUUGGAAACAGAUGCUAAUACCGCAUAAAACCUAACACCGCAUGGUGUAGGGUUGAAAGAUGGUUUCGGCUAUCACUUUAGGAUGGACCCGCGGUGCAUUAGUUAGUUGGUGAGGUAAAGGCUCACCAAGACCGUGAUGCAUAGCCGACCUGAGAGGGUAAUCGGCCACACUGGGACUGAGACACGGCCCAGACUCCUACGGGAGGCAGCAGUAGGGAAUCUUCCACAAUGGACGAAAGUCUGAUGGAGCAACGCCGCGUGAGUGAAGAAGGUUUUCGGAUCGUAAAACUCUGUUGUUGGAGAAGAAUGUAUCUGAUAGUAACUGAUCAGGUAGUGACGGUAUCCAACCAGAAAGCCACGGCUAACUACGUGCCAGCAGCCGCGGUAAUACGUAGGUGGCAAGCGUUGUCCGGAUCUAUUGGGCGUAAAGCGAGCGCAGGCGGUUUCUUAAGUCUGAUGUGAAAGCCUUCGGCUCAACCGAAGAAGUGCAU
rnacentral:rRNA from 1 species